GCUGCGAUGGCCGAGUGGUUAAGGCGUUGGACUCGAAAUCCAAUGGGAUCUUCCCGCGUAGGUUCGAACCCUACUCGCAGCG
rnacentral:tRNA from 1 species